rnacentral:rRNA from 1 species
GACGAACGCUGGCGGCGUGCUUAACACAUGCAAGUCGAGCGGUAAGGCCCUUUUGGGGGUACACGAGCGGCGAACGGGUGAGUAACACGUGGGUGACCUGCCCUCAGCUCUGGGAUAAGCCUGGGAAACUGGGUCUAAUACUGGAUAUGACCUUUCCUCGCAUGGGGGUUGGGUGGAAAGUUUUUUCGGCUGGGGAUGGGCCCGCGGCCUAUCAGCUUGUUGGUGGGGUGAUGGCCUACCAAGGCGACGACGGGUAGCCGGCCUGAGAGGGCGACCGGCCACACUGGGACUGAGACACGGCCCAGACUCCUACGGGAGGCAGCAGUGGGGAAUAUUGCGCAAUGGGCGGAAGCCUGACGCAGCGACGCCGCGU